rnacentral:rRNA from 1 species
GCUUGUCUCAAAGAUUAAGCCAUGCAUGUCUCAGUAUAAGUUCCUGUACGGCGAAACUGCGAAUGGCUCAUUAAAACAGUUACAGUUUAUUUGAUGGUCGUUCCUUACAUGGAUAACUGUGGUAAUUCUAGAGCUAAUACAUGCACCCGUGCCCGACUUUGUGGAAGGGUUGUGUUUAUUAGUUACAGAACCAGCCCAGGCUCUGCCUGGUCUUGUGGUGAUUCAUAAUAACUGUUCGAAGCGCACGGCCUCGCGCCGGCGCUAGUUCAUUCAAAUUUCUGCCCUAUCAGCUUUCGACGGUAGUGUAGUGGACUACCGUGGCGCUAACGGGUGACGGAGAAUUAGGGUUCGGUUCCGGAGAGGGAGCCUGAGAAACGGCUACCACAUCCAAGGAAGGCAGCAGG